AGCGAACGCUAGCGGCAGGCCUAACACAUGCAAGUCGAGGGGUAGAGGCUUUCGGGCUUUGAGACCGGCGCACGGGUGCGUAACGCGUAUGCAAUCUGCCUUGUACUGAGGGAUAGCCCAGAGAAAUUUGGAUUAACACCUCAUAGUAUUUUAGUGUGGCAUCACAUUAUUAUUAAAGGUUACGGUACAAGAUGAGCAUGCGUCCCAUUGGCUAGUUGGUAUGGUAACGGCAUACCAAGGCUACGAUGGGUAGGGGUCCUGAGAGGGAGAUCCCCCACACUGGUACUGAGACACGGACCAGACUCCUACGGGAGGCAGCAGUGAGGAAUAUUGGUCAAUGGUCGCAAGACUGAACCAGCCAUGCCGCGUGCAGGAUGAAGCAUCUAUGGUGUGUAAACUGCUUUUGUACGGGAAGAAACACCGCUACGUGUAGCGGCUUGACGGUACCGUAAGAAUAAGGAUCGGCUAACUCCGUGCCAGCCGCCGCUGUAACAC
rnacentral:rRNA from 1 species